rnacentral:rRNA from 1 species
CAACUCUUUGGACACUCGUAAACAGGUGGUGCAUGGUUGUCGUCAGCUCGUGUCGUGAGAUGUUGGGUUAAGUCCCGCAACGAGCGCAACCCUCGUUCUAUGUUGCCAGCACGUAAUGGUGGGAACUCAUGGGAUACUGCCGGGGUCAACUCGGAGGAAGGUGGGGAUGACGUCAAAUCAUCAUGCCCCUUAUGUCUUGGGCUUCACGCAUGCUACAAUGGCCGGUACAAAGGGCUGCAAUACCGUGAGGUGGAGCGAAUCCCAAAAAGCCGG